UACCAGACUCCUACGGGAGGCAGCAGUGAGGAAUAUUGGUCAAUGGCCGAGAGGCUGAACCAGCCAAGUCGCGUGAGGGAUGACGGCCCUACGGGUUGUAAACCUCUUUUGCCGGGGAGCAAAAGACGCCACGCGUGGCGUUCCGAGAGUGCCCGAAGAAAAAGCAUCGGCUAACUCCGUGCCAGCAGCCGCGGUAAUACGGAGGAUGCGAGCGUUAUCCGGAUUUAUUGGGUUUAAAGGGAGCGUAGGCCGGCUUUUAAGUCAGCUGUGAAAGUCCGCGGCUCAACCGUGGAAUUGCAGUUGAAACUGGAGGCCUUGAGUGCACACAGGGAUGCCGGAAUUCAUGGUGUAGCGGUGAAAUGCUUAGAUAUCAUGAAGAACUCCGAUCGCGAAGGCAAGUGUCCGGGGUGCAACUGACGCUGAGGCUCGAAAGUGCGGGUAUCAAACAGGAUUAGAUACCCCGGUAC
rnacentral:rRNA from 1 species